rnacentral:lncRNA from 1 species
UGUGGCUCGCUUCUUCAGUGCCAGGCUGCUCAAACCUCUAGGGGGGCAUACAGACAGGCAGAGGCUGUGGGCCUCCAACCCCACGGCAGCAUGUAGGGGUGGAUGCUUACAGCUCCUGGAGCCCCAGUGGGCGUGUGUUACAGGGUGCUCUUUUAGUUUUGCUGUCUAUAGGCGACUUGUGUUAGUUAACCAGCUCGAGUGGGCUCUCAACCUUGUCAUAGGACAGAGAGGGCUUUCUAUAUGCCGGGUUCUUGCCUUGGUGUACCAGAAGAAUUGGAUCACACCUGGGCUUAGAGAAUGGGUGCAAGGUUUUAUUGAGUAGAGGUAGCUCUUAGCAGAUGUUGGAAGCCAGAAGAGAAUGGAGUAGGAAGGUUUUCCCCUGGAGUGGGGCCACUCAGCAGCCCGGGACCCCCUUCCACAGUCCCAGCCAAACUCUGCGUCGUUCUGCUGGUCAGCGGCCUGCUGGCGUGCCAGUGCCUGCUGAUGUGCUCCUCUGGACGUCCAGCCGCCUGUGUGUUCCUCCACUGAUGUGCUCCUCUCCAUGUCCGGCUACCUGUGUGUCUGCCUGCUAAGGUAUGAAAUCUAAGGAUGCCCCCUCUCUGGAGCUGCCUGCCUGUGUUUGAAUCCUGAAGAUCGUGAUGCGUGAGUUAAUCCGUGCUAAGAACUCGGAACACGUCUCACUUGGCCUGGCAUGGAAGAGGCGCUCGGAAUCAAAACGGAGA